AGUUCGUUAUGAAUGGGACACUAUUGACGCAGAGAGGAUGGAAAUACCUAACGACCGUGUUUGUUUUCUAUCCGGUGAUCGCGGCAAGAAUCUUCGUGAAAUCUCGGGUGCUCGUGUCGAGGUGCUGCGGCGUAAAUCCAAAAAAGGGACCACGACUUCAGUCAGAAUCAGCGGUAGCAAAUUCGCUCGCAGCAAGGCGAUUGGACUUAUC